CACCCUUUCGACUUCUACAUUUUCUUGCCUGCAAACAGAUGACGAUACUCAUAUGUACAUUUUUUCUUUUUAAUUAAAUCUCUUCAAUCGAUGAAGUUAUGUAAAGUUCAACGAAAAUGUUAUCAGUAUUCAAACAAGAUAGAACAUCGAUGGAGAAAAAAUUUGGAAUAACUUGUGACACGAUAUGUUAACGUACACAAAGAUGAUACAAGCACAGUUAUUCUUUCCGACAACAUCUGCACUUUCUGUACUCAAAAUAGAACAAUAAAAACGAAGAAUAUGGAGAAAAAAAAGGAAAAAGAUUGCGAAAGAAUUCAAUUGGACAAAA